rnacentral:lncRNA from 1 species
UAAAUUUCGAGGACGAAAUUUUCUUAAGGGGGGUAGAUUGUAAGAACCCAAACCAAAAUAUCUAAAAAUUGAGAUUUCUUUAUUCUAGCCAAAAGACGAUUUUGCCCUCGCAUAUUCUAAAAGGGGAAAGUUUGACUUUUUGAUCGGAAAAGAAUUUGGCAAUUCCGCUUAUGCCGUUGCGUAGAGUACAGCGAAACGAGUUCGUAGACAUGGAGUAGACCCGAAUCGGAGUUGUAACGAAGGAUUUAUGGUUAAAAGAGUCUCAGUGGCAGAAUCGUAAAUAUUUCGAAGUUUUUUUUUUUUUAAAAAACCAGAUUUUUCUCUUGCUAUCCCGUCAUUAUUUUUUUCUCUUCUCCCUCUCUCCUCCCGAUUCUUCCUCCAACCGCCCGACCUUUCCCCCUUCUCCUUGACGCCACGGCCACCAUACUUGGAACCGAUCUCUGCCGUUGGUACCAAACGAACCACCAUUCGACCACCGACGUUUCUUGACCCUUCGCCGGAGUUGCCGUGGCCGGAGCUGGUCGGAAAACUCCAUUUUCGCCGGAUUUCCAGUUCAAACUUUCAGCUCGAUUUUCUCCUUCAAUUCUCCACCAAAUAAGUCGAGGGAGGUAUGGAUUUUCAUCUAUUUCUCGUGCUCUAUCUGCUAGUUGGCUGGGUUUAGAUCAAUUCAAUCCCUAGAUCAUUCGAUUUUCGACUUGAAGUUUGGCAGAAACUUCGGCCGCCAAAAACUACUGUUUCCGGUCACUUUUUGGGGUAUGUCCAAGAACAAAAGUGACUCCAAAUGUGGUGUUUUACCUAGGAUAGGAGUUUGGAGUCGUAGUUUGGAGUUUUUCCGGCGAACCGUUAUCGCUUUGGACACCCGCCGCUGCCGGCGCGUGUGGCGGCGUGUGGGUGAGGGUACAGUAGUAACUCUGGGUAUUUUUGUGAUCCUCGUAUUGUCACGAGCGCGUAGGAUUUCGCGGAUCUCAAUUCGGAGUCCGUUCGAGCCCCGAACGGAUUUUCCAUAAUAUGCGAUUCCCGGGUGCAGUGUCGUCUAGCCGUUGGAUCGCACGCCAUUUUGGAUAUGUUGUUCUAUAUUGUUUCAGGGUCGUGUAGGAUUCAACGGAUUGCGAAUCGGAGUACCGGAUACUCCGAAAUCGCGAACCCUAGGGUUAGGGUUAGAGUUUUAAGCGAUAACGCGAUUUUGGCCGAUCCGACCGUCCGAUUCGGACCAAAUUCGCAGAACUUGGUUCCCGCCCUAUGAGAAACCUUCCGGGAAGCUCAGAUUGGCCAUCGGAGAUCGUGGACCCCACGGGUCCCGGGUCGGCCGAUCUGACAGUUUAUCGCUUAACUGAGCGUCGGACCUUCCAAAAGUGGUCCAAGUGUCUAAAAAGAGCUAAGGUGGGCAUAGGAGUGAUCUAGAACGAAAUGUAUAUAUUUCUAAGAGCCGGGGGCAGGGUAUGUGAUUUAAAAUUCUAUUUAUCCAGCAGUUUAUUAAUUUAUUAUUCAUGGAUAAUCAGGCACCAGGAGUCCAGCUAAUCCAUAGGAGGGACCUUCAAGAGGUCUAGCUAGCUCGGACCAGCAGUGAGUGGACCUUUCUUUUAUAAAUGAUUUUAUGCAAAUGCAUUUAAUUUAUUAAUCUUGUAUAAGUAUUCUUGCAAGUCUUGAGCAGGUUUUAUACGGUCAAAUACUUUGAGUUACAUAUAUUAUUGAGGUUAUAGUAGCAGCAGACCUUGAGCUUUAUAUAAGCAUUACGACUACAGUUAAAUUAUCAGAUUCCAGAGAAUUGUCAGAUAACUAUUUUUAGUCCACCAUGAAUUAUCGAAAGCAGAGUUUGAGUUUUCUAUCAGAUAAAAAGGGUAAAAAGGUCAUUCGUGCCCGGCAUUCGCCAGGUGUCGGACACGCACAGGAUUCGGCUCGGAUUCCAAAGCGGAAAUUGGGUCGGGUCCUGUCAUCUUUCGCAUACAAAUAAUUGGUAAACGAGUUCGGCAACGUAGCGUUUUUGUAUUUUAAAGAAUGUACCAUCAAGGUCCAUUAAUUCGAUAAUAUAUUGGGAUUUGUUUCUGGCCUUAGUUUCAGUAAGAUAAUAUUGAGAAAUCGAAAUUCCAAUCUACCGUGGUUCCAUCACAGAUUUACUAAAGUUCAUACUUACGUUGACAGGACCAGACCCAAUUUCCACUUUGGAAUUCGAGCCCAGUGCUGUGCGUGUCCGACACCUGGCGAAUGUCUGGCACAAAGGACCUUUUACCCUUCUUGUUUCAAAUUCUUUUUAAAUUUUUCCCUUAGACUUCUGCCGAAAAUUCGGCAGAGUCUCCCCUGUAUUUUGACCGAACCCAAUUU